rnacentral:piRNA from 1 species
AAUUUACGAGAACGGAGCAACAG